GGGAGACUCACUGGCUUUAUGCUGCCCAAUUAUCUCUGGAAAAUGUAUUUCAGUGAUUUGAACUUUUAAUUGCAGCUUAAAUCAAAUGCUCAUAGACUCAGGAGUCAUCGAGUGGAUGGUACCAGCUAAUGAUAUACUGCAACCAUUGUCACCACCUUCCAUUUCAGAGGGAGAGGGACACAGAGUUGGGCUUUCUGUAACAGACUUUAAUUCUUCACCAGGAGAAGAGGCAGGAAGUAGAAGGCACAGGCUUGACCACUGUUCUCAGAGGGGAGUGAAUUGGGCUAGGAAUAUCUCUGUCUGUUCCGUGAAAGCAAGAGUAAAAGGCAAACAAACUGGGGGAAAAGUCUUUAUAGCAAGUCUCCCUGACAAAGGCUUCAUUUCUCAAAUAUAUAGAGGACUAAGUCAAAUUUAUAAGAAUACAAAGGAUUUGGGAAAGUCUACAUGAACUGUUGCAGAACGAAAGAAGCAGAACUGGAAGAACAUCAUACACAGUAACAGCAAUUUUGUACCAUGGUCAAUUGUGAAAGACUUAGCUGCUCUUAGCAAUACAGUGAUCUGGGACAAUUCUGAAGGAAUUCUGUCAAAGAAUGCUAUCUACCUCCAGGGAAAGAACUGUUGGAGUCUGAUGCAAAUCAAAGUAUACUAUUUUUCACAUUAGUUUAUUUACAAUUUUAUUUUGGAGGUUUGAUUUUAUAUGAUAUUUUCUUACAGCAAUGACCAAUAUGGAAGUAUGUUUUGCAUGAUAAUACAUGUAUAACCCAGAUCAAAUUGCUUAUCAUCUCCAAAAGGGGAAGGGAGGAAAGGAGGCAAUUUGGAUCUUACAAUUUUGGAAAAUAUAUGUUGAAAAUUAUUUUUACAUGUACCUGGGAAAGUAAAAUAUCUUUGAAGUAAAAAGAAAAGAUUGAUUUUAAAAAAGAAAAAAAGAAUACAAAGCAUUUCCCAAUUGACAAAGAAUAUAAACAGGCAAUUCUCAGAUGAAGAAAUUAAAGCUAUCUUUAGACAUAUGAAAAAAUGCUCCAAAUCACUAUUGAUUAGAGAAAUGUAAAUUAAAAUAACUCUGAGGUGCCACUUCACAUCCAUAAGACUGACUAAUGUGACAAAAAAGGAAAGUGAUAAAUUUUGGAGAGGAUGUGGCAGAAUCAGGCUACUAAUACACUGCUGGUGGAACUGCAAAAAAUGAUACAAUCAUUCUGAAGAGCAAUCUGGAACUAUGCCCAAAGGGCCAUAAAAUUGUGCAUACCCUUUGAUCUGGUAAUACCACUACUAGGUCUAUAUCCCAAAGAGAUUAAAGAUAAAGGAAAAGAACCUGUUUGUACAAAAAUGUUUAUAGCAGCUUUUUUUUUUUUUGGUAGAAGCAAAGAACUGGAAACUGAAAGGAGUUCCAUAAAUUGGAGAAUGGCUAAACAGGUUGUGGUAUAUGCUUGCAAUGUAAUACUGAUUAUGCCAAAAGACAUGACAAUCAAGAUGAUCACAAAAAGCCCUUAAAAUACCUAUAUGAAGUGGUACAAAGUGGAGUGAGCAGAACCACAACGUUGUACACAGUAACAACAAUAAUUUAUGAUGAUCAGCUGUGAAUGACUUAACUAUUAUCAACAAGACAAGGAUGCAAGACAACUCCAAGAGACUCAUGACAAGAAAAGGGUAUCCCCUGCCAUAGAAGGAACAGAUGGGGUCCAAAUGCAAAUUGAAACAUAGCAUUCUUUAAUUUUUUCUAGUGUAAAAUGUGCCUUGUUUUACAACAUGAUAAACAUGGAAGUAUGUAUCAUAUGAUAAUAUAUGUACAAUUUAUGUCAUAUUACCUGUCUUCAUGAUGUGGGGGAAGGGGUGAGAGGGAUAAAAAUGGAUUACAGAAUAUCAGAAAAUGAAUAUUGAAAGUUAUAUUGACAUGUAAUCUGUACAAAUUAUUAUAAUAAAAUAUUAUCAGUGUAAGG
ensembl:lncRNA